rnacentral:rRNA from 1 species
AGUGAACGCUGGCGGUAGGCCUAACACAUGCAAGUCGAAUGGCAGCACAGUAAGAGCUUGCUCUUACGGGUGGCGAGUGGCGGACGGGUGAGGAAUACAUCGGAAUCUACUUUUUCGUGGGGGAUAACGUAGGGAAACUUACGCUAAUACCGCAUACGACCUACGGGUGAAAGUAGGGGAUCUUCGGACCUUGCGCGAUUGAAUGAGCCGAUGUCGGAUUAGCUAGUUGGCGGGGUAAAGGCCCACCAAGGCGACGAUCCGUAGCUGGUCUGAGAGGAUGAUCAGCCACACUGGAACUGAGACACGGUCCAGACUCCUACGGGAGGCAGCAGUGGGGAAUAUUGGACAAAGGGCGCAAGCCUGAUCCAGCCAUACCGCGUGGGUGAAGAAGGCCUUCGGGUUGUAAAGCCCUUUUGUUGGGAAAGAAAAGCAGCAGGUUAAUACCCCGCUGUUCUGACGGUACCCAAAGAAUAAGCACCGGCUAACUUCGUG